CACCACCAUCAGACUCCUGUAACUCCACAGGAAAAAAAUUUGGCCUUUACUGGCCAAAAGUUUAAUGUAUCUUUUGAGAAAAGCUUUUGAAACAUUCCAUGAUCAAUUGAAGCACCAUGUAUCUUGAAGUCGACCUAGGCUAAUGCAGCAAUGGAGUGCUUGUCUUUUUUCCAGCUUUUUGGUCAGAUGGUGGAGAAACUGUCAAAAAGGGGGCUAGAACAAUGGCCCACUACGUCUAAUCUGGAAUGCAAGAAUAAAUCUUGACAUAAAAACUGUUAAGAAUAUGAAGUUUUGGUACUCUGCUAGGAAAAUAGUAGCUCUAUCAAAAAUGGCCUUCGGUUGUAACUGAAUUUUUUCAAAGUAGAACCUGUUACAAGCAUUCCAUGAUGUAUUGAAGCCAUAUCUUGUUGUCAAUAGGCUAAUUUUAAGCAUCAUUGAAAUAUUGAAUGUAUUUUAUAAUUUUGACUCUUAGGGUAGUUUCAUUGUUCAAUUUACAAAAACUUUUACAAGGAUUUAGAGUACAAACCAAGAAGAAUGUAAUAAAAUUUAGUCUUUAUUUAUUUUUUAUAUAUUAGUUUUACUACUAAAAUGUAAUUGAUUGUGUGCC